UGGAAGUUAAAAAUCGUAACAAGGUUUCCGUAGGUGAACCUGCGGAAGGAUCAUUACACUCAGUAGUUUACUACUGUAAAGGAGGCUGUUAGUCUGUAUAGCGCAAGCUGAUGAGCAGCGGGCCUCUUUUAUCUACCCUUGUCUUUUGCGUACCCACGUUUCCUCGGCAGGCUUGCCUGCCGAUUGGACAAACCUAUAACCUUUUUAAUUUUCAAUCAGCGUCUGAAAAACUUAAUAAUUACAACUUUCAACAACGGAUCUCUUGGUUCUGGCAUCGAUGAAGAACGCAGCGAAAUGCGAUAAGUAGUGUGAAUUGCAGAAUUCAGUGAAUCAUCGAAUCUUUGAACGCACAUUGCGCCCCUUGGUAUUCCAUGGGGCAUGCCUGUUCGAGCGUCAUUUGUACCCUCAAGCUCUGCUUGGUGUUGGGUGUUUGUCCUCUCCCUCGUGUUUGGACUCGCCUUAAAAUAAUUGGCAGCCAGUGUUUUGGUAUUGAAGCGCAGCACAAGUCGCGAUUCGUACCCAACGCUUGCGUCCACAAGCCUUUUUUAACUUUUGACCUCGGAUCAGGUAGGGAUACCCGCUGAACUUAAGCAUAUCAAAGGCCGGGAGGAAAAGGAUC
rnacentral:rRNA from 1 species